rnacentral:rRNA from 1 species
GUUUCCUUGAUGCUUGCAUCGUGGACACGGGAAGCCGAAAAAGGUAAGCCUUAGAGUUUGAUCCUGGCUCAGAACGAACGCUGGCGGCGGGCUUAACACAUGCAAGUCGAACGCCCCGCAAGGGGAGUGGCAGACGGGUGAGUAACGCGUGGGAACAUACCCUUUCCUGCGGAAUAGCUCCGGGAAACUGGAAAUAAUACCGCAUACGCCCUACGGGGGAAAGAUUUAUCGGGGAAGGAUUGGCCCGCGUUGGAUUAGCUAGUUGGUGGGGUAAAGGCCUACCAAGGCGACGAUCCAUAGCUGGUCUGAGAGGAUGAUCAGCCACAUUGGGACUGAGACACGGCCCAAACUCCUACGGGAGGCAGCAGUGGGGAAUAUUGGACAAUGGGCGCAAGCCUGAUCCAGCCAUGCCGCGUGAGUGAUGAAGGCCUUAGGGUUGUAAAGCUCUUUCACCGGAGAAGAUAAUGACGGUAUCCGGAGAAGAAGCCCCGGCUAAUUUCGUGCCAGCAGCCGCGGUAAUACGAAGGGGGCUAGCGUUGUUCGGAAUUACUGGGCGUAAAGCCCACGUAGGCGGAUAUUUAAGUCAGGGGUGAAAUCCCAGAGCUCAACUCUGGAACGGCCUUUGGUACUGGGUAUCUUGUGUAUCGAAGAGGUAAGUGGAAUUCCGAGUGUAGAGGUGAAAUUCGUAGAUAUUCGGUGGAACCCCAGUGGGGAAGGCGGCUCAUUGCUCACAUUACUCACGUUGAGGUGCGAAAGCGUGGGGAGCAAACAGGAUUAGAUAUCUUGGUUGUCCCCGCCCUACACCCCGCAAUGCCAGCCGUUCGGGCUUUAUUUUUUUCGGUUGGCCGCAAGCUAAGGGCCAUCAAACAAACCGCUUGGG